UAUUUGCGUUACGUCUUGUUUGUGAACGGAAAACUACGAAAAUUAAAUUAGUAUACUAUUAUUGAUAAAUUUGGACCACGUGGGCAAAAUUAAUCUAGAGGGUGUGGUCAAAAAGAGCAAGAUGGCGGAAAUUUUAACGUAACAAACUCAGAUUGAGUUUCUAACAGUUAGAUAAGAGAGAGGGGCUGUCUAAAGCAUUUCUAAAGGCUGAAGAACUUAAAAGCAGUUUGAUCUAAGACUCCUCUAGAUUAGUCCUCUCAUUGACAGAAUUAAAAUUGUGAGAGAAGCUUGAUUAGAAGUCAUUUUGGUCAGUGGUGUUAAAUAGUGGGUUUGCUUUGUUCAGACCCCGCCGGACUAUGAGGAUGGGGUCUGAAUAUGCAUGCACGUUAAGAGCUGGAUUGAUUUUAUUUCAGUAGUUUUAUUUCAAAAAGAUGUUAAUUGAUGGAAGCUUGAUUAAAAGUUUAGCUUGGCACAUUUUUUAAAGGUGACAGGAUAGUUCAUCCUUAUCUCUUUUACUGGGUUAUUUUGGUUGUGUUAACUGGUGUGUUUGCUCUGUUCAGACUUCAGACCCCGGCCAUGAGGCCGGGGUCUGAAUAUGCAUGCAGGCUAAGAGCUGGAUUUAUUAUAAUUUUAAUCUUCUUAUCAAACAAUGUGAAUUGAUGGCUCGCCCCCUCAAUGUUUACAUUCACCUAGUUU